rnacentral:rRNA from 1 species
GUAGGAUCCAAUAAUGACAUAUUGGAUGAUGAUGAGGAAGCGAGCAUGUCUAGCGCUAAAACUAGCGAGAUUGAUCCAUUUGACAUUGUCUACUCAAACAUUCCAGACAUCACUCACAUCCUGAAGCUCGACGAAAAUUGCAAACACUGUAAGGCCAGGAAGUUUGAGUCUGAGACUGACGGAUUCUGCUGUCGCAAUGGCCAAAUCCAGCUUAAGCAACCGGAACCAAUCCCAGAGCUUAUGAGGCUAUGGUCCAGCAUGGAUGCAGAUUCUAGA